AGCUUUGCACAGUGGCAGUAUUGUAGCCAAUGAGGUUUAUCUGAGGCAUGAUUAUUGCUAAUUGAAAACUUUUCCAAUACCCCUCCGUGACAGCUUGAAAUAUAGUCAGCAUUGGCAAUUUUUGGCAGUCUCUACAGGGA
rnacentral:snRNA from 1 species